rnacentral:rRNA from 1 species
GAUGAACGCUGGCGGCGUGCCUAAUACAUGCAAGUCGAGCGAACAGAUGAGGAGCUUGCUCCUCUGACGUUAGCGGCGGACGGGUGAGUAACACGUGGAUAACCUACCUAUAAGACCGGGAUAACUUCGGGAAACCGGAGCUAAUACCGGAUAAUAUAUUGAACCGCAUGGUUCAAUAGUGAAAGACGGUUUUGCUGUCACUUAUAGAUGGAUCCGCGCCGCAUUAGCUAGUUGGUAAGGUAACGGCUUACCAAGGCAAAGAUGCGUAGCCGACCUGAGAGGGUGAUCGGCCACACUGGAACUGAGACACGGUCCAGACUCCUACGGGAGGCAGCAGUAGGGAAUCUUCCGCAAUGGGCGAAAGCCUGACGGAGCAACGCCGCGUGAGUGAUGAAGGUCUUCGGAUCGUAAAACUCUGUUAUUAGGGAAGAACAAAUGUGUAAGUAACUAUGCACGUCUUGACGGUACCUAAUCAGAAAGCCACGGCUAACUACGUG